CCUACGGGUGGCUGCAGUCGAGAAUCUUUCACAAUGGGGGAAACCCUGAUGGUGCGACGCCGCGUGGGGGAAUGAAGGUCUUCGGAUUGUAAACCCCUGUCAUGUGGGAGAAAAUUAAAAAGAUAGUACCACAAGAGGAAGAGACGGCUAACUCGGUGCCAGCCGCCGCGGUACUACAGAGGUCUCAAGCGUUGUUCGGAAUCACUGGGCGUAAAGCGUGCGUAGGCUGUUUCGUAAGUCGUGUGUGAAAGGCUCGGGCUCAAACCGGGGACGGCACAGGAUACGGCGGAACUAGAGUAAAGGAGGGGGAACCGGAAGUCCCGGUGUAGCAGUGAAAUGCGUAGAUAUCGGGAGGAACACUCGUGGCGAAGGCGGGUUCCUGGACAUUAACUGACGCUGAGGCACGAAGGCCAGGGGAGCGAAAGGGAUUAGAUACCCCGGUAGUC
rnacentral:rRNA from 1 species